rnacentral:rRNA from 1 species
AUUGAACGCUGGCGGCAGGCUUAACACAUGCAAGUCGAGCGGGGUGAUGGUGCUUGCACUAUCACUUAGCGGCGGACGGGUGAGUAAUGCUUAGGAAUCUGCCUAUUAGUGGGGGACAACAUCUCGAAAGGGAUGCUCAUACCGCAUACGUCCUACGGGAGAAAGCAGGGGAUCACUUGUGACCUUGCGCUACUAGAUGAGCCUAAGUCGGAUUAGCUAGUUGGCGGGGUAAAGGCCUACCAAGGCGACGAUCUGUAGCGGGUCUGAGAGGAUGAUCCGCCACACUGGGACUGAGACACGGCCCAGACUCCUACGGGAGGCAGCAGUGGGGAAUAUUGGACAAUGGGGGGAACCCUGAUCCAGCCAUGCCGCGUGUGUGAAGAAGGCCUUAUGGUUGUAAAGCACUUUAAGCGAGGAGGAGGCUCUUUUGGUUAAUACCCAAGAUGAGUGGACGUUACUCGCAGAAUAAGCACCGGCUAACUCUGUGCCAGCCGCCGCCGUAA